rnacentral:rRNA from 1 species
GACAGAGGGGGCAAGCGUUGCUCGGAAUUACUGGGCGUAAAGGGCGCGUAGGCGGGAUGGCAAGUCGGUCGUGAAAUCCCUCGGCUCAACUGAGGAUCGUCGAUCGAUACUGCCGUUCUUGAGGAUUGCAGAGGAGACUGGAAUUCCCGGUGUAGCGGUGAAAUGUGUAGAGAUCGGGAGGGACACCGGUGGCGAAGGCGGGUCUCUGGGCAAUUCCUGACGCUGAGGCGCGAAAGCGUGGGGAGCAAACAGG